rnacentral:tRNA from 1 species
CGGGGAGUAGUAUAGUGGCAGUAUGCACGCAUGGGGUGCGUGCGAUGGGAGUUCGAUUCUCCCCUCCCCGA